AUCUAACGGAUGAGUCACAAAUAAGACGAAAUACGUAUCGUAGAU
rnacentral:hammerhead_ribozyme from 1 species